CUGAUACUGGGAAGGAAGACUUGUCACCACUGUUAAAAAUGUUCUGCUUGACAGUGAAGGAAACAAACCAUACACAGAAAUUUGAUUUGAACCCAAGGCUUUGCAAUUGAGUGGAAAAAUCAAGUGGAAGAACUUUCUUUUCAGCACAGGAUUUAAAGAAGUAAAAACAAGGAUGCCAUUGAAGUUAUUUCAGAUAAAUUCUAAAGUACCUACUAAAGGCCCAGGUAGGAAUUCAGCGAUUAGUUUACAACUCAUACCACAUUUCCAAGUCCCAGCCUCUUUAAUUUUGGACUUUGCAACAUAAAGAAACUAAUCUACAGUGUGUGAAAACAGAAAGUGUGCCAAUAUUCAGCAAAUAGCAGAAGUAAACAAUGUUGCCAACCUCAUCAAAACCAUUGAUUUCUUCCGAAGAGACAGAAUCUCACCAAAUGAGUUGGGCAGCAGUUACGUGACAACAGCAGACAGCAGAACUUUGAUCAGAAACCAGCUUCCUGCCUCAGACUCAGCCCUCUCAUAAUAAUAGAUUAAGACCUAAAUGGGACCCAAGAGACCAUCUAAUGCAACCUUUCUUGAGUAAACAAAAACAAACAAACAAACAAAAAACUA